rnacentral:rRNA from 1 species
CUGGCGGCGUGCCUAACACAUGCAAGUCGAACGGGGUGUCUGAUCUUCGGACUGGACACUUAGUGGCGGACGGGUGAGUAACGCGUGGGUAACCCGCCUCAUACAGGGGGAUAGCAGUUGGAAACGACUGAUAAUACCGCAUAAGCGCACAGUACCGCAUGGUACAGUGUGAAAAAACUCCGGUGGUAUGAGAUGGACCCGCGUCUGAUUAGCUUGUUGGCGGGGUAACGGCCCACCAAGGCGACGAUCAGUAGCCGGCCUGAGAGGGUGAACGGCCACAUUGGGACUGAGACACGGCCCAAACUCCUACGGGAGGCAGCAGUGGGGAAUAUUGCACAAUGGGGGGAAACCCUGAUGCAAGCGACGCCGCGUGAAGGAUGAAGUAUUUCGGUAUGUAAACUUCUAUCAGCAGGGAAGAUGAUGACGGUACCUGACUAAGAAGCCCCGGCUAACUACGUGCCAGCCGCGGC